AUUGAACGUUGGCGGCGUGGAUUAGGCAUGCAAGUCGAGCGGGAAGGCCCGCAAGGGCACUCGAGCGGCGUAAGGGACAGUAAUGUGUAGGUACGUACCCCUGGAUCUGGGAUAGCUGCGGGAAACUGCAAUUAAUACCAGAUAAUGUCUUCGGACCAAAGGUGUGACUCCGUCUGGGGAGCGGCCUGCAUCCUAUUAGCUAGUUGGUGUGGUAAUGGCGCACCAAGGCACAGAUGGGUAGCAGGUGUGAGAGCACGACCUGCGUCACUGGGACUGAGACACUGCCCAGACACCUACGGGUGGCUGCAGUCGAGGAUCUUCGGCAAUGGGCGCAAGCCUGACCGAGCGACGCCGCGUGUGGGAUGAAGGCCUUCGGGUUGUAAACCACUGUCAGAGGGGAUGAAAUGCCGUUGGGUACUCUCAGCGGUUUGACAGAUCCUCAGAGGAAGGGUGGGCUAAGUUCGUGCCAGCCGCCGCAGUAACAC
rnacentral:rRNA from 1 species